UGGGGAAUAUUGCACAAUGGGCGAAAGCCUGAUGCAGCGACGCCGCGUGAGGGAUGACGGCCUUCGGGUUGUAAACCUCUUUCAGCAGGGAAGAAGCGAAAGUGACGGUACCUGCAGAAGAAGCGCCGGCUAACUACGUGCCAGCAGCCGCGGUAAUACGUAGGGCGCAAGCGUUGUCCGGAAUUAUUGGGCGUAAAGAGCUCGUAGGCGGUUAGUCGCGUCUGCUGUGAAAACUCGAGGCUCAACCUCGGGCUUGCAGUGGGUACGGGCUGACUAGAGUGCGGUAGGGGUGACUGGAAUUCCUGGUGUAGCGGUGGAAUGCGCAGAUAUCAGGAGGAACACCGAUGGCGAAGGCAGGUCACUGGGCCGCAACUGACGCUGAGGAGCGAAAGC
rnacentral:rRNA from 1 species